rnacentral:lncRNA from 1 species
CUCCCAGAGCAGGGACAGGUAUUUAAGGACCCACUCUCAGGGAUGCUGUCCUCGGGUUUCCAGGCUCCCGCUCUGUAGGACCGAGGCAGGCUCCACCGUGAGAGAGAGAGAGCGACCUGAUUCUGACUGAGACAUUUCCGCAGAGCCCCCAGAGGAAAGACAGGAAGGAACACCCGAGGCUCCCGGGACUUCUGACUGCUCUGUCCACUGAGGUGUGCUUUUUGGAUGAAAAGCAGAAAUCUGGACAUGGAGGAGGUGGUGAUCAUGGAGACAGAUUUGGCCGAAAUGCCUGAGAAAAAAGGUAGAAUUGCUCAAGUGUUGCACUUCUGUGGUGGAAGGGUGGAGUCCUUCCUCCUGGAGGGAAAAGGGUUGUCUCGGAAUAGGUGGCCAUUGGCAGAGAGGACUGUCUGUCUCCAUUGUCUUGGUGGAUGGGUGGGCUAUUUGAGUGUAGAGAGUUUGGUACAGGAUCAUCCCCUGUCCUUUCCAUUGCAACCUGGUGCACAAUGGACCCUUCCAAGCAGCCCCCAAAAUAAGAGUGGAAAUGUUAAUCUGAGAUGUGAGCACAGCUACAACCACUCUUCUCACUUGCUCUUCCUUUCAAAUGAUUAUUCCAUUCUAGUCCCCAUCAGUGGAUUUGAGAAAUCAGCUUUGUGGUUGACAAAAAUUUCUCCACACCCAUUAUUUCACUGUAUCUUUAUAGUUACCUAUGAUUUAAAUUCAGUGCGGGUUUGAUCUUUUUGUUUGUUUUGGUGAUGGUGGUGUUUAACAUGCAAAACAGACUAGAAGGCAAGGGUUGACUUUCAGUACUACUAGACCAGAGU